GACGUAGGAUGCGAGCGUUGUUCGGAAUUACUGGGCGUAAAGCGCACGUAGGCGGAUCAGUUAGUUGGGGGUGAAAUCCCGGGGCUCAACCCCGGAACUGCCUCCAAAACUGCUGGUCUGGAGGUCGAGAGAGGUGAGUGGAAUUCCGAGUGUAGAGGUGAAAUUCGUAGAUAUUCGGAGGAACACCAGUGGCGAAGGCGGCUCGCUGGCUCGAUACUGACGCUGAGGUGCGAAAGCGUGGGGAGCAAACAGG
rnacentral:rRNA from 1 species